GCCAACGGCCAUACCAUGUUGAAUACACCGGUUCUCGUCCGAUCACCGAAGUUAAGCAACAUCGGGCGUGGUUAGUAGUACCUGGAUGGGUGACCGCCUGGGAACACCGCGUGCAGUUGGCA
rnacentral:rRNA from 1 species